CAAACCCGCAGGCGCAAUGAAAGUGAAGGGCUCGCCCCGCGCGGCCCGAGGGAGGAUGGUCCCCUCCGAGGAGGGGGCCCGCACUCCCGGGGCGUCUUGUCCGGUCUCCGGAGAGGCGCACCCGGAGCGUACGCGUUGGGACCCGAAAGAUGGUGAACUAUGCCUGGUCAGGACGAAGACAGGGGAAACCCUGUUGGAGGUCCGUAGCGAUUCUGACGUGCAAAUCGAUCGUCGGAACUGGGUAUAGGGGCGAAAGACUAAUCGAACCAUCUAGUAGCUGGUU
rnacentral:rRNA from 1 species